rnacentral:rRNA from 1 species
GUGAACGCUGGCGGUAGGCCUAACACAUGCAAGUCGCACGGCAGCACAGUAAGAGCUUGCUCUUACGGGUGGCGAGUGGCGGACGGGUGAGGAAUACAUCGGAAUCUACUUUUUCGUGGGGGAUAACGUAGGGAAACUUACGCUAAUACCGCAUACGACCUACGGGUGAAAGCAGGGGAUCUUCGGACCUUGCGCGAUUGAAUGAGCCGAUGUCGGAUUAGCUAGUUGGCGGGGUAAAGGCCCACCAAGGCGACGAUCCGUAGCUGGUCUGAGAGGAUGAUCAGCCACACUGGAACUGAGACACGGUCCAGACUCCUACGGGAGGCAGCAGUGGGGAAUAUUGGACAAUGGGCGCAAGCCUGAUCCAGCCAUACCGCGUGGGUGAAGAAGGCCUUCGGGUUGUAAAGCCCUUUUGUUGGGAAAGAAAAGCAGCAGGUUAAUACCCCGCUGUUCUGACGGUACCCAAAGAAUAAGCACCGGCUAACUUCGU